AUAACACUUAUCAUGGAGAAAAAUAACAAACGAGAUCAUGAAGAGAGUGAUUCAUCUUCACCAGAGAAGUUCAUGAGAAUGGAAGACACUACACACGCCAUUAACAAUAAUGUGUGUAAAGUCAAUACCCUUGCUCAGUUCCAAUCUGAGACUGGUGAAACAGCUGGUCCUCCCAUUGAGCUACCUCUGUCUCUGGCUCGUGAUAAACUCCAACAAAUUCUAAAUACUCUACUUGAACAGG